rnacentral:rRNA from 1 species
GUCGAACGCACAGCGAAAGGUGCUUGCACCUUUCAAGUGAGUGGCGAACGCGUGAGUAACACGUGGACAACCUGCCUCAAGGCUGGGGAUAACAUUUGGAAACAGAUGCUAAUACCGAAUAAAACUUAGUGUCGCAUGACACAAAGUUAAAAGGCGCUUCGGCGUCACCUAGAGAUGGAUCCGCGGUGCAUUAGUUAGUUGGUGGGGUAAAGGCCUACCAAGACAAUGAUGCAUAGCCGAGUUGAGAGACUGAUCGGCCACAUUGGGACUGAGACACGGCCCAAACUCCUACGGGAGGCUGCAGUAGGGAAUCUUCCACAAUGGGCGAAAGCCUGAUGGAGCAACGCCGCGUGUGUGAUGAAGGCUUUCGGGUCGUAAAGCACUGUUGUAUGGGAAGAACAGCUAGAAUAGGAAAUGAUUUUAGUUUGACGGUACCAUACCAGAAAGGGACGGCUAAAUACGUGCCAGCAGCCGCGGUAAUACGUAUGUCCCGAGCGUUAUCCGGAUUUAUUGGGCGUAAAGCGAGCGCAGACGGUUUAUUAAGUCUGAUGUGAAAGCCCGGAGCUCAACUCCGGAAUGGCAUUGGAAACUGGUUAACUUGAGUGCAGUAGAGGUAAGUGGAACUCCAUGUGUAGCGGUGGAAUGCGUAGAUAUAUGGAAGAACACCAGUGGCGAAGGCGGCUUACUGGACUGCGACUGACGUUGAGGCUCGAAAGUGUGGGUAGCAAACAGGAUUAGAUACCCUGGUAGUCCACACCGUAAACGAUGAACACUAGGUGUUAGGAGGUUUCCGCCUCUUAGUGCCGAAGCUAACGCAUUAAGUGUUCCGCCUGGGGAGUAC